AGAACAUACAUCCUGCUGUUGUUGUUUGGCCAAAAUCUGAACUGGAAUACCCAUUCUUUGCCCUUCACAUCUUGAAUCCGCAGAGGAAGGCCUUCUGGUUGAGAAAUUGGUGGGAAAUAUGCUUCAGCACACGCUUUAGGAAGCACCAAACGGCCAAUUCGACCUGCAUCACUUGCACUCAGGACCUUCUCAAAUAAUGGUAUGAUGGUGGAAUUUGAGUCUCCAGAUAUUUGCUGCAACUCCUGGUCUGUUAUCCUUGGCCAAUAGCGUGGAAGCAGCUGAUUCUUAAUCCGACCUUCAACAGGUGGUCUGGCAACACGAAUCUGUGAAAUUAUGCCAGCAUUCAUCUCCGGUCCCAAAGCAGAGGCAGAUUUUGGGGGUUUGGGCAAUAGAUUUCGAGAUCUAGACCCUUGCUGCAAGGAAGAUAUUGUCUUGUUCAGGUCCCCCUCAUCCAAUGUAGUAGGAAAGAGCUUUGAGUUCGGUGAAGGUGCAGACAGAGCUAUGCUUAAAUUUGUUUGCACAGUUGAUCCAUGAAUCUCUACAACUCCUUUGUAUCCGUUAUAUGAAUCCAGUUUGGCAUUUUUAGAGAACUCCGCCG
rnacentral:misc_RNA from 1 species